AUCAUUUCUUGGCCUCUUGGUUGAGGUUAAGUGUAAUCACUGUUCUUAUCAGUAUAAUAUCUGCUAUGUCCUCUACUGAGGAUGGCAUAUUACAUGGGUUUUUGGAGCAGGGAGGCAGAAUAGUAGCUUUGCUCUGACCAUUCCGAAUGUCGACCCCAUGUUGCAGUACUUCCAGAAAUGGUUCAUCCCCU